ACAGUGCAGACAGUACAGGACUUUCAACCUAAGAUGUUGUGCCAACCUAUUAUCCUACUCUAAGAUCAAAUUACUCUGGAAACCCCACAUUUUACUAUCAUCCACGUGCCUAUGCAAGAGUUGCUUAAAUGUCCCUAAUGUAUCUGACUCCACUACCACCUCCAUCAGCACAUUCCACGCACCCACCAUUCUCUGUAUAAUGAGCCUACCUCUGACAACUCCCAUAUACCUUCCUCCAAUCACCUUAACAUUAUGCCCCCUCGUAAUAGUCAUUUCUGCCCUGGGCAAAAGUCUCUGACUUUCCACUCUAUCUAUGCCUCUCACCAUCUUGUAAACCUGUAUCAAGUCAACUCAUCCUUCUUCAAUCCAAUGAAGAAAGCCCUAGCUCCCUUAACCUUUCCUCAUAAGACCUGCCCUCCAGUCCAGGCAGCAUCCUGGUAAAUCUCCUCUGCGCCCUUUUUUAUUCUUAUUUUUUUCCUUUUUCCCUUUCUCCCCUAGUUUCUUUACCCCAUUCACGCCUUAUCCAGUUUCCAGACCUAGUAAUCUCCACUUGCAUCCCACCAUCUCAAGUGAAUCCACAGAUCACAAUAAGAAGUGUAGGAGCACACUUAAGAGGGAAAUCAGAAGACCAAAGAGGGUACGAAAUGGAUCCGACAGGUAACCAAAGCAAACAGAGGGUCAUGGUCAAUGAGCUUAUCAGAGCUCAGCAGAAGCUGCUUCUCUUCCUCAUGGUCAUGGUGACCUUUAGUCAUCAGCCAGCACUGCAGAAUUGUUGCUGCUGCUGAAAAUGCCACCUCUCUGAUUUCUCCGAGCACCUUAGAAACAUGCCCAGACAGGAUCCACUCGCAUGCUGAGCUGGGACACCACCAUGAGCUGCCAAGAGACCAACCGACAUGUUGCCAAGAGACCAGGCUGAGAGCUGCCAAGAGACCAGACCUGGGAACAGCCACUACCUUUAUCGAAGCUUAGACUUUUGCUCACAUCAAGCAACAUGUUGGAAGUGGCUGUGAGCCUGAUCCCAACAUAGUUAGAGCGAGCUUGAAGUGUCGGUAAGGGAAGUUCUCCAGCAUCUGUGGUGUCAAGAGAAGGAGGCCUGAGGUUUCCCAAAGAGCAAGUCAAAGUGAAAGAGACCAAAGUCUUUUUAGGGAGUGCACUUAGACUGUUGAACUUGCAUCUUUAUUUUUC